rnacentral:tRNA from 1 species
GGGAGAGUGGCCGAGUGGUCGAAAGCGGCAGACUGUAAAUCUGUUAGAGGUAUUCUUCGUAGGUUCGAAUCCCGCCUCUCCCA